GCUGGUAUAGCUCAGUUGGUAGAGCAACGCAUUCGUAAUGCGUGGGUCGGGUGUUCGAGUCACCUUACCAGCACCA
rnacentral:tRNA from 4 species